UAGAAGUUUGGAAGGAAUUCAUUCACAAUAGAAGCUCAGGUGGAGGCUUACAGUAGAAAUCCGAUGUGGACCGCUCGUAGUAGAAAUUCAGAGCAGACCGGUUGUGGUGGGGGCCCAGAGUCUGGCCCUUGUCAGAAUUCAGAUGAGGCCCACCUAUAGUUCGGCUCUCGUAGGAGCUCGGACGAAGUCUACCCGCAGUCG
rnacentral:lncRNA from 1 species